ensembl:lncRNA
UGAAAACUGAUUUUAUGGUUAUGUUUUGAGCAGUAUAUAGGCCUAAAACAAGAAUAUCUGUUUUCAUCGCAAGUUUUCAUUUCAUUUCAUGUCCCUUUGUAUUUUCCCACAGAUUGCGCUCAUUCAGGGUGUUUGGGGUGAGUGAUUUUAGCGUACUAUCCAUCCAUAAAAAUGCAGUUCAAUAUGUCCAACAACUAUGUUUUUAACUGUAUUAAUGGAUUUUUUUACUCUUUAUAGAACAAAACCAAACAUGUAUCAGUCGAGGAAAUUGUGGAGUCAGUAGAAUUCCUGAAAAAAAAACUCAUCAAAUUUGAUGAAAAUGUAACACAUAAAGACGGCUUUUGGGGACAGGUGUGCAAUGCACUUACCAUUCCAAACACCAAAAACAAUCGCUAUAGACUUCUAAGAGCAUUUCGUAAGGUGAGCACUUCUUUGUUUCAAUAACAGGUUUUCAAAACCAGACUCCUGACACAAAUAGUUAUUAAAAUUACAAUUAAAAUACAAUUACAACACACACACACACACACACACACACACACUUUUAUGUGUAAGUAUGUAUGUACAUAUAGAUUUCUCUUGUUGAUGACAGUCGACAGUGAUAGUUGUUAUAUUGUGUUUUUCAUCCAUCUUUUAAGGUUACAAAAUUUAUCAGUUACAUGCAGUUUUAUAUAUUUACUAGUGAAAUUAUAUAAUUUUCAUAUUCAUAGACAAAGUCAAAGCUUGACCUAUAUGUCUGAACCAGUUAGUCAACCUAUUUGGUACUGACAUCUGUUUCAUCUACAACUUCCUACGUUGUAAUAACAGUAUUUUCUGUCUUUCUAUAAAAGCAGCAGCCAGAAUCGUCCCCAUCUCCAGUGCCAUCCGAGGACAGUGGAAGUGCAUCAGGAGAUGAAAGACGCAAGUCUUCUGAACCACACCAGCCAGAAUUGUCCCCAUUUCUAGUGCCAUCCGAGGACAGUGGAAGUGCUUCAGGAGAUGAAAGACGCAAGUCUUCUGAACCACACCAGCCAGAAUCGUCCCCAUAUACAGUGCCAUCCGAGGACAGUGGAAGUGCUGCAGGAGAUGAAAGACGCAAGUCUUCUGAACCAGUUAGUCAAACUUUUGGCUACUCACAUCUGUUUCAAGUACGACUUCCUACGUUGUAAUAACAGUAUUUUCUGUCUUUCUAUAAAAGCAGCAGCCAGAAUCGUCCCCAUUUCCAGUGCCAUCCGCGGACAGUGGAAGUGCUGCAGGAGAUGAAAGUCGCGAGUCUCCAGACCAAGUGAGUUAUCACAGUUUGUGAUUUGUUUAAAACAGUUCAGGGUAUGUGAGGCCACUAGGCCUGUCUGGUAAUUGAAAGGUUCUGAUCCAAAUAACUUUGAUAUUCAGGAGAGUUUUUCACAGUGUCCUUUAGAAAGACAAGAGUCCACUUGAGGGUUAUAAUUAUUAUGGUUUCACAUAAUAAUAUAGGAGCAUUCUGUGAUUUCUCAAAGUCACAUUUUCUCAAAAUGUGGUUCCUGUGGCCCAGUGGUAGAGCAUUGUGUUAGCUGCGCAAAAGGUUGUGGGUUCAAUUCCCAGAGAACACACAUACUGGUAAAAAAAAUUUAUAGCCUGAAUGCACUGUAAGUCGCUUGGGAUAAUAGUGUCUGCUAAAUGUAAAAACAUUGUUGAACACUAUUAUUAUAUUUCAAGUCAACCCAAACAAACACAUCCUCCCUUCAUUGCUUCACCUUCAAAAGACAUGAACAUGUGAAGCAGUUGUUGAAUUAACUUUGUCACAGCAGAAGGGAAGCAAUAUAAUGCUUUGAAAAAACAAAGGGAACAUGACAAACAAAUGUCAAGGAACAACAAAAUAUGAUUACCCCCCCAUCCACUGUUCUGAUUGAACACAAUUUUUUUGUGCUGCACGUUCUGUAAAACAGCAUUUUUUACAUUUUGUUUUCUGCACCUUUUAAUUUUUGUAAAAAAUAUGCAGUAAAAUAAUAAUGUUAUUUUAUAACUAUAUUUUUGAAGUAUUUUUUUUUAUUUUUGUAAUGUCACUUUACAUAUUUGAUGUUCGAAUUACUACAAGUAUUUGUAUUCAGGUUUGACAAUAUUAAUAACACAAAAACUAUUUUAGAAUUACACUACAUAGUUUUGUUUGGAAUAUAGAUUGGAACCAUAAAUUGUACCCCAAAUACAAAUUAAUAAAGAAGAAAUUGUUAUUGAAAUUUAGCGCA